GGGGAAUAUUGCACAAUGGGCGAAAGCCUGAUGCAGCAACGCCGCGUGAGUGAUGAAGGUCUUCGGAUUGUAAAGCUCUGUCUUUUGGGACGAUAAUGACGGUACCAAAGGAGGAAGCCACGGCUAACUACGUGCCAGCAGCCGCGGUAAUACGUAGGUGGCGAGCGUUGUCCGGAUUUACUGGGCGUAAAGGGUGCGUAGGCGGAUGUUUAAGUGAGAUGUGAAAUACCCGGGCUUAACUUGGGUGCUGCAUUUCAAACUGGAUAUCUAGAGUGCAGGAGAGGAGAAUGGAAUUCCUAGUGUAGCGGUGAAAUGCGUAGAGAUUAGGAAGAACACCAGUGGCGAAGGCGAUUCUCUGGACUGUAACUGACGCUGAGGCACGAAAAGCGUGGGUAGCAAACAGGAUUAGAUACCCUGGUAGUCCACGCCGUAAACGAUGAGUACUAGGUGUAGGAGGUAUCGACCCCUUCUGUGCCGCAGUAAACACA
rnacentral:rRNA from 1 species